rnacentral:lncRNA from 1 species
GGAGUGCUGGCUGUGGGCGGAGCCUGUGCGCCCGUGCGUUUGUGCCUCGCCUGUUUGGUCCUCAGGCAGUGUGGCGGGCAGGGCAUGAAACAGCCCCUGGUAUGCAAGUGGAGACAGAGGCUGGGAGAGAGCCGGUGCCCUGCCUAAACUCACGCAAGCAGGAAGAGGGCCAGGAAACACGAGUGUUCCUUUUGUGUGAAGUGUCUUGCCAGCCUCAUUUCCCUGGGAUGCCUCCAUCCUGUGACAGCCACUGCCCUCAUCACACUGACACGAUUCCUCCGAGCUGCCCAAGGGCAGUGUCCCUCGUAUCACAGUUGUGCUUUAUUCUUAAACCUUGUUUCUGUUCAGUUUGAAUUUCCUUUUCCUUGUUACCAGUUUCCAGUUCUUUGGUGCACUCUGCCUUUGCCAGCCAAUCCCCUCUGUUGAGAAUGCAUCUCUGCACAAUGCCGUAGGGGUGUCCCUGGGAGAUGAGGAGGUGGUACAACUGCAUGCUUUGCUGUCUGUGCAGGAGCUCAGUCACAGACACAGCUGUGACUUAUGACUGAGGAGCUAGCACUGAAGUUUGUAUUCCAUGCAAUUAUUUGUAGCUCAUAUACCAUGGUAAGUGAAAUUUGGGAAACUGGUGUUAUUUAACUAAACUGAGAUAACUGAAAUUUCUACACGGGACAAUUGUGCAAGGAAGGUGCUACAAGGCACAUGAUUACACAGUCCACAAAUGUAUGCAUGUGUGUGUGUGCCACGAGAGAGACUGGAAUUAAGUUUCAUUUCCUAGGAUGCAGUUGCUAUGUUUUUUUGGCUUGCUUUGGUUUUUUUUUAAUCAUAUACAUUCUUUCUGUUUGCACUUUUUUUUUAAAACAACAAGCAUGAGUUAGUUCCAUAGUUUAAAAAAAUCUUGUAAAUAAGCAUAUGUAGACGAUGAAGAUUUUUUUCAAAAUUUUUAAACUGAAUUAUUGAAAUAAAAAAGAGAUCAGGGUUAACUCUCAGUUAACCAGAAAAUUUAAAUAAGCAGAUGAUUCUGUGUGUCAUUCUGUAUCUAUUCAAUGAGAAAUAGAAAAGAUGUUUGUGUGUGUGUGUGUCUCUGUGUGAGUGUGUAUGUCUGUGUGUGUGUGUCUGUGUAUGUCUGUGUGUGUCUCUGUGUGAGUGUGUAUGUCUGUGUCUCUGUGUGAGUAUAUGUGUGUGUGUCUGUGUGUAUGUCUGUAUCUGUGUGUCUCUGUGAGUGUGUAUGUGUGAGUGUGUAUGUCUGUGUGUGUGUCUCUGCAUGUCUGUGUGUGUGUUUCUCUGAGUGUGUUUAUCUGAGUGCAUAUGUGUGUGUCUGUGUAAGUGUGUAUGUCUGUGUGUAUGUGUGUCUCUGAGUGUGUAUGUCUGUGUCUCUGUGUGAGUAUGUCUCUGUGUGUGUGUGUCUCUGUGUGACUGUGUAUGUCUCUGAGUGUGUGUGUUUCUGUGAGUGUGUAUGUCUGUGAGUGUGUAUGUCUGUGUGUGUGUCUCUGUGUGAGUGUGUAUGUCUGUGUGUGUGUGUGUGUGUGUGUGAGUGAGCACACAUGCAUGUCCAGGAAACUAAGUGCUGAGAGAGCAGAGAUGUCCUUACUCGGGCAGGCUGGAGUGCAGUGACCUCCCUCACGUGCAGACGAUGAGGGGUGGUGGCCUCUUGGGGUCCUGCCAUCAAUGACCAGCCCACAACUCUCACCACAGCCCCAACCACCUUUACUGCUAUUUACUUAAUAUUUUUUUAGGUUGACUUCAAAUUGGCUCAUUUUUUUUUGUACUUAGCAAUAAUACUUGGGAAAUUAUCACUUUGAAGUGCUAGUUUUAGGGUUUUUUUCACCUAAUAGAGAUUAGAAUAAAUUUAUAACCAUUAAAAUAAAAAAAAUGUUCCUUUGGGGACCAGCUAAAAUCCCUGCCACAGGAGGAAAUAAAUGCAGAUGCCGUGGAGACACACCUGUAGGAGAAGUGGAGCCAGGUGAGUGGCAGAGCGGCUUCCCCGCAGGCGGGGACACUAACGGAUGCUGGAGCCCCAGCCCAGGGCUGUGCCUGCCAGAGCUCUGGCUCUGAGACGCCACCCAGCAGGAAAAUCCAAUGAAUGGGAAUGCUCAGAAAAUAAGGCAUUUGGGUAGAUCUUGUAUUUUUUUCCUGCAUAGCACAAUUAACCCAGAUCUUACAUUUUUUUCUUGCUUAGCACAAUUAACCCAGAUAUGAUUCUUGUUUUUGAGAGGUGCUGUUAGAAAUCUUUGUAAAAUGUGUAAGGAUAUUUUUUUUUCUGCCUUUGUGAAUAUGGAAAACACAUUUACUCUGUUUGGCUUGUUCUAAAUCUCACAGUCCUGUGAGUCAUCACGCUGGAUGCCCAUUCUUGUUAUAAAAUGCUGAGAUGUGUGUGCCGGAGGUGGAGGACACUAGUUUGAAUUUAUUUCUUUAUUUUCUUUUAUACUUAAAAAAGUACCUGGUGUCAGCAAUUGAUCUGAUGGCCGUGUUUUGCCUUAAAAUCUGGCCAGUGCAGUCUGCGCCACCUGGGAGGUGGGCUCAGGAGCCUGUUAGAAACGUGGAGUCUCAGGUCUCUCCCAGAUCUGCUAACACAGAACCUGCACUUCGGCACCAUGCCCGGGUGUUGCAGAGGCAGAGGAAAGUUUGAAAGGCACUCCUCUAACAUGAUCUAGAAAAAAUGAAGUCGAACUGGGAGGGGAAACUGCUAAAACAUGAUGGUAAAAUAUUGAUAAUUGCCAGAUGGAAGUUUGCAUGAGUUUUCUUGUAUUGUUCUCUCUUCUAAUUGUGUAAAGGAUAGGAGUUAAAAAUAAACCCGUAGUAUUACCUUGUUUGGUUCUUAUUUACCUAUUACUGCCAAUAGUCAAUUUCCCUAAUAAAAAAGUAAAUUCUUCUCUUGCAUGUGAAAUCACAGUUUAUUCAGGUAUGAAUCCUCUCUGGUAAAUCCGAAUUUUAUUGUAUGUUUAACCUGAUAAAUGAAGGAUUU